GUAGACAAGGUUUUAGACAAGACUGGAAUGAAAGGUACGGGUAAAUGGACCGUUCAGCAAGCUGCUGAACUGUCAGUUGCUGCUCCUACAAUAGCCUCGUCCUUGGAUUCAAGAUUCCUUAGUGGAUUGAAGGAUGAAAGGGUGCAAGCAGCCAAAGUUUUCAAAUCUUGUGGGGUCAGCGACAUCCUUGUUGAACAGUCUGUUGAUAAGAAGCAAUUGAUUGACGAUGUCAGAAAAGCACUCUAUGCUUCGAAAAUAUGUAGCUAUGCUCAGGGAAUGAAUUUGAUAAGGGCAAAAAGUGCUGAGAAGGGAUGGGGCUUGAAACUAGGGGAG
rnacentral:lncRNA from 1 species